GAAAUAACUGCUGCAGCUCCUCCAGACCAACAGAGGCUUCCCGUGUCUUGUGAAGUGACGGGGCUCUGCAGCGAGAAACGUUUACCGGUGCCGGUGUCUCGGGACACCGGUCGGGAGGCUGAAGCAGGAAAAGCCAACACUAGGAUCAGCAGUGAUUCAUGGAGAGACCUUCGUCUGGUCAGCUAACAUUACUGCCAAGCAGUAUGGACCCCCGACCCACCUUCUCUCCUCUGGAUCCGAUCGGCCCCUCAGGUCCGGGGAAUCCUGGGACACCAGGCUGUCCGGUGAGACCUGGGAAACCCCGCUCACCCUGCACACAGUGAAACAGCGGAUGCCAGACGGGCAUCGAUUGCACGCAUGCCAGCCAGCCAGCCAGUCAGGUUGUGAGAAAGACAGACAGGGAGGCAGAGAGCGCACGAGAGAGAGGACGGUCAGCAUUCUUCUGCGUCGGCAAAACCUUUUUGUGUGUCCGUGUUUGAGUUGGUGGCUUUCAUGGUGUCACUGUUUUAUUGGUCAGCGCAGACGGAUGGGCUGUGACUAAUUCUCAGUGUAAAAAAAUGGCGGAAAAUUGUAAGAAAUGCCCGUCAAAUGUCUUGUUUUGUGUGAGUGGCAGUCCAAAACCCAAAUAUAUUCAAUUUGCAGUGAUAUAAAACACAAAAAAGCAGCAGAUCCUCAAAUUUGAGAAGCUGAAACUAGCAA